rnacentral:rRNA from 1 species
CCUACCCUUGACAUGCCACUAACGAAGCAGAGAUGCAUUAGGUGCUCGAAAGAGAAAGUGGACACAGGUGCUGCAUGGCUGUCGUCAGCUCGUGUCGUGAGAUGUUGGGUUAAGUCCCGCAACGAGCGCAACCCUUGUCUCUAGUUGCUACGAAAGGGCACUCUAGAGAGACUGCCGGUGACAAACCGGAGGAAGGUGGGGAUGACGUCAAGUCCUCAUGGCCCUUAUGGGUAGGGCUUCACACGUCAUACAAUGGUGCAUACAGAGGGUUGCCAAGCCGCGAGGUGGAGCUAAUCCCAGAAAAUGCAUCGUAGUCCGGAUCGUAGUCUGCAACUCGACUACGUGAAGCUGGAAUCGCUAGUAAUCGCGGAUCAGCAUGCCGCGGUGAAUACGUUCCC